GGCCUGAAUAAUAGCCCAAAGGCACCAGAUGCAGUCUCAUCUUGGAUGCUAAGCAGGGUUGCUCCUGGCUAGUACUUGGAUGGGAGACCGCCAACUAUGACCAAGGGUCUGUAGGGUC
rnacentral:rRNA from 11 species